rnacentral:miRNA from 1 species
UAAAUCAAAUUUACAAAUUUUAAAAAAAAUUAAAAAUCAUUUAAUACUUCAUUUCAUUAAUUCAAAUCAAUGUAUAAAAUAAUUUUAUACUAUCCAUCAAUUUGAAUUAAUGAAAUGAAGUAUUAAAUGAUUUUUAAUUUUUUUUAAAAUUUGUAAAUUUGAUUUA